rnacentral:rRNA from 1 species
UACGUAGGGCGCAAGCGUUGUCCGGAAUUAUUGGGCGUAAAGAGCUCGUAGGCGGCCUGUUGCGUCUGCUGUGAAAUCCCGGGGCUUAACCCCGGGCGUGCAGUGGAUACGGGCAGGCUGGAGGCAGGCAGGGGAGAAUGGAAUUCCCGGUGUAGCGGUGAAAUGCGCAGAUAUCGGGAAGAACACCGGUGGCGAAGGCGGUUCUCUGGGCCUGUACUGACGCUGAGGAGCGAAAGCGUGGGGAGCGAACAGG